rnacentral:rRNA from 1 species
UGAGUACGAGAUGCUACGGCAUCGAAGCAGUCUAUGUCAUACUUCCAAGAAAAGCUUGCAAUGUCAUAAACAAAUAAUGCCUGUACCAUAACCGACACAGGUGGGUAGGUAGAGUAUACUAAGGGGCGCGAGAUAACUCUCUCUAAGGAACUCGGCAAAAUGACUCCGUAACUUCGGGAGAAGGAGUGCCUUAUUUUUAUAAGGUUGCAAUAACAAGAUCCAAGCAACUGUUUACCAAAAACACAGGUCUCCGCUAAGUCGUAAGACGAUGUAUGGGGGCUGACGCCUGCCCAGUGCCAGAAGGUUAAAGAAGUUGGUUAGCAUUAGCGAAGCUGAUAACUGAAGCCCUGGUGAACGGCGGCCGUAACAAUAACGGUCCUAAGGUAGCGAAAUUCCUUGUCGGGUAAGUUCCGACCCGCACGAAAGGCGUAAUGAUUUGGAUACUGUCUCGGAGAGGGGCUCGGUGAAAUAGACUUGUCUGUGAAGAUGCGGACUACCUGCACCUGGACAGAAAGACCCUAUGAAGCUUUACUGUAACUUGAGAUUGAAAUUGGACUUUAUCUGCGCAGUAUAGGUGGGAGACGUUGAAAAUAUUCUUGCGGGAAUAUUGGAGUCAUCAGUGAGAUACCACUCUUAUAAUGUUAGAUUUCUAACUUUGUAUCAUUAUCUGGUCAAAGAACAGUUUCAGGCGGGCAGUUUGACUGGGGCGGUCGCCUCCCAAACGGUAACGGAGGCGCACAAAGGUUUCCUCUGAACGUGUAGAAAUCGUAUCUAGAGUGUAAAGGCAUAAGGAAGCUUGACUGUGAGACCUACAAGUCGAGCAGGGACGAAAGUCGGUCUUAGUGAUCUGACGGUGCUGAGUGGAAAGGCCGUCACUCAACGGAAAAAGUUACUCUAGGAUAACAGGCUGAUCUCCCCCAAGAGUUCACAUCGACGGGGAGGUUUGGCACCUCGAUGUCGGCUCAUCGCAUCCUGGGGCGGUAGUACGUCCCAAGGGUUGGGCUGUUCGCCCAUGAAGGCGGUACGCGAGCUGGGUUCAGAACGUCGUGAGACAGUUCGGUCCAUAUCCGGUGUAGGCGUUAGAAUAUUGAGAGGAGCCUUCUUUAGUACGAGAGGACCGAGAAGGACAUACCUCUGGUGUACCAGUUAUCGUGCCAACGGUAAACGCUGGGUAGCCAUGUAUGGAGAGGAUAACCGCUGAAAGCAUCUAAGUGGGAAGCCCACCUC